rnacentral:rRNA from 1 species
AAUCAACGCUGGCGGCGUGCCUAACACAUGCAAGUCGAACGGGAAAACGGGGGCAACUCCGUGAGUAUAGUGGCGUACGGGUGAGUAACACGUGACUACCUACCUUUGAGUGGGGAUAACCCGGGAACGGGCUAAUACCGCAUAACAUCGCAAGAUCAAAGAAGCAAUUCGCUUAAAGAGGGGUCGCGGCUGAUUAGCUAGUUGGUAGGGUAAUGGCCUACCAAGGCGAUGAUCGGUAGCCGGCCUGAGAGGGCGCACGGCCACACUGGAACUGAAACACGGUCCAGACACCUACGGGUGGCAGCAGUCGAGAAUUUUUCUCAAUGGGC